rnacentral:rRNA from 1 species
AAUUGCUAGUAAUGGCAGGUCAGAAUACUGCCGUGAAUACGUUCCCGGGCCUUGUACACACCGCCCGUCACACCAUGAGAGUUGGGAAUACCCGAAGCCUGUGAGCUAACCGUAAGGGAGCAGCAGUCGAAGGUAGAAUCAAUGAUUGGGGUGAAGUCGUAACAAGGUAAC